ACACUUCUGAGGAGUCCCACACUAGGACGAAACAGCUGUCCAGUGC
rnacentral:hammerhead_ribozyme from 1 species